rnacentral:rRNA from 1 species
UGGGGAAUCUUGGACAAUGGGGGCAACCCUGAUCCAGCCAUGCCGCGUGAGUGAUGAAGGCCUUAGGGUCGUAAAGCUCUUUCGCCUGUGAAGAUAAUGACGGUAGCAGGUAAAGAAACCCCGGCUAACUCCGUGCCAGCAGCCGCGGUAAUACGGAGGGGGUUAGCGUUGUUCGGAAUUACUGGGCGUAAAGCGCACGUAGGCGGACCAGAAAGUUGGGGGUGAAAUCCCGGGGGCUCAACCCCGGAACUGCCUCCAAAACUAUUGGUCUAGAGUUCGAGAGAGGUGAGUGGAAUUCCAAGUGUAGAGGUGAAAUUCGUAGAUAUUUGGAGGAACACCAGUGGCGAAGGCGGCUCACUGGCUCGAUACUGACGCUGAGGUGCGAAAGUGUGGGGAGCAAACAGGAUUAGAUACCCUGGUAGUCCACACCGUAAAACGAUGAAUGCCAGUCGUCGGGUAGCAUGCUAUUCGGUGACAC